UGGGGAAUUUUGGACAAUGGGCGAAAGCCUGAUCCAGCAAUGCCGCGUGUGUGAAGAAGGCCUUCGGGUUGUAAAGCACUUUUGUCCGGAAAGAAAUCCUUGGCUCUAAUACAGUCGGGGGAUGACGGUACCGGAAGAAUAAGCACCGGCUAACUACGUGCCAGCAGCCGCGGUAAUACGUAGGGUGCAAGCGUUAAUCGGAAUUACUGGGCGUAAAGCGUGCGCAGGCGGUUUGCUAAGACCGAUGUGAAAUCCCCGGGCUCAACCUGGGAACUGCAUUGGUGACUGGCAGGCUAGAGUAUGGCAGAGGGGGGUAGAAUUCCACGUGUAGCAGUGAAAUGCGUAGAGAUGUGGAGGAAUACCGAUGGCGAAGGCAGCCCCCUGGGCCAAUACUGACGCUCAUGCACGAAAGCGUGGGGAGCAAACAGGAUUAGAUACCCUGGUAGUCCACGCCCUAAACGAUGUCAACUGUUGUUGGGGAUUCAUUUCCUUAGUAACGUAGCUAACGCGUGAAGUUGACCGCCUGGGGAGUACGGUCGCAAGAUUAAAACUCAAAGGAAUUGACGGGGUCAUAGCUGUUUCCU
rnacentral:rRNA from 1 species